rnacentral:rRNA from 1 species
GUGGGGAAUCUUGCGCAAUGCGCGAAAGCGUGACGCAGCAACGCCGCGUGAGGGAAGACGGCCUUCGGGUUGUAAACCUCUUUCAGGAGGGACGAAGGUCCGCCCGCGAAUAGCGAGGCGGAUUGACGGUACCUCCAGAAGAAGCCCCGGCUAACUACGUGCCAGCAGCCGCGGUAAUACGUAGGGGGCAAGCGUUGUCCGGAAUCAUUGGGCGUAAAGCGCGCGUAGGCGGCCCGGUAAGUCCGCUGUAAAAGUCAAAGGCUCAACCUUUGAAUGCCGGUGGAUACUGUCGGGCUAGAGUCCGGAAGAGGCGAGUGGAAUUCCUGGUGUAGCGGUGGAAUGCGCAGAUAUCAGGAGGAACACCAAUAGCGAAGGCAGCUCGCUGGGACGGUACUGACGCUAAGGCGCGAAAGCGUGGGGAGCAAACAGGAUUAGAAACCCGAGUAGUCC